GGCGCACGGGUGCGUAACGCGUAAGCAAUCUACCUUUUCACAGAGGGAUAGCCCAGAGAAAUUUGGAAUUAAUACCUCAUAGUAUGCAGAGUUGGCAUCAACACUGCAUUAAAGUCACAACGGUGAAAGAUGAGCAUGCGUCCCAUUAGCUAGUUGGUAAGGUAACGGCUUACCAAGGCUACGAUGGGUAGGGGUCCUGAGAGGGAGAUCCCCCACACUGGUACUGAGACAUGGACCAGACUCCUACGGGAGGCAGCAGUGAGGAAUAUUGGUCAAUGGGCGCAAGCCUGAACCAGCCAUGCCGCGUGCAGGAUGACGGUCCUAUGGAUUGUAAACUGCUUUUGUACAGGAAGAAACAGUUCUACGUGUAGAACCUUGACGGUACUGUAAGAAUAAGGAUCGGCUAACUCCGUGCCAGCAGCCGCGGUAAUACGGAGGAUCCAAGCGUUAUCCGGAAUCAUUGGGUUUAAAGGGUCCGUAGGCGGUUUAGUAAGUCAGUGGUGAAAGCCCAUCGCUCAACGGUGGAACGGCCAUUGAUACUGCUAGACUUGAAUUAUUAGGAAGUAACUAGAAUAUGUAGUGUAGCGGUGAAAUGCUUAGAGAUUACAUGGAAUACCAAUUGCGAAGGCAGGUUACUACUAAUGGAUUGACGCUGAUGGACGAAAGCGUGGGUAGCGAACAGGAUU
rnacentral:rRNA from 1 species